rnacentral:lncRNA from 1 species
CCCAUUUAAAAACUCAGUCACAAAACCAAUUUUUCCUGUUCUGUAAAAAAGCCUUUGGGAACCCUAUUUCAUGAAAAUAUUUAAAAAAAUACGUGUAUAUAUAUGUUUCCCAAGAUGAGAAAAUUUCCAAAGAAUUUACCCUGGGAAUAACUUGGAAAUAUAGCUACUAAAGCUUGUUAAAGCCAUGCCAGGUAGGGAAGAGCCAGUAAUAACUUUUCAGCCCUGGUUUCUCAUGUCCCACUGAGCAAACAUUUCAAGACAGCCAGUAUCAGAAGAUUAGAAUUAUUUUCUGAAAGAGGUGCGUUCAUUUAUCAGCUGGGUUGCACAUAUGACCCAGUGUUCUUUAAGGAAUUAGGGUACAUGUAGGAAGCUAAGAAAUCUCACCUUUACUCAUUUGAACAAGUACCUAGCUGAAUUUCCUUGCUAUCUGUCUGCACAAGCUCUCUAUGUAUUUUUAAGCAUCUGAAAUUCACUCAUCAACAGAAUAAGGUACAAUCCUGCUCAGGAGUUGAACCUGUUAUUCAAUGAUUCUAUGACUGAGCUAUAUAACAGUUCUAACACUCUGAAGUGUUUGAGCCCUCUUUAUUUCUUGCUCUUAGCAAUUUGGGCUGCAUAAUACCUACAUUUCUUCUAGAUAUUAAGAGUGCAAACCCAAGUUUGUGUCUCAUUGUAACACCAUGUGAGGUUGUGGUUCUGGUGCUGAAGUAUGCAUAAUAUGUGCACUUGUAGAAGAUUUAGGUGAACAUACAUCAUGAUUUAUACCUCCCCAGAGAUAUCUGAUGCUGCAUCAUUGUUGUGGGAGAAGAGCACUACUUGCUUAGAAAGACAGGUACAGCAACCUCCACCGCUCCUUUGCUUCUGCAUUUCAGAGGUCCUCCAGCUAUUCCAAGAAUCCCACUGCAAGAUGCACAGAUGACCUGCAAGAAUGAGGAGGAUUUUCACCAAGAAUUCAAGCAUCUGGCUAUGGCAGGGUUUCCCAUGGCUGACCAGAAAUCUAAUUCAAAGUGACAAGAACAAGGGCUAUCCUCAUGACUGGAUGAAACCUUCUUUCCCACCCACACCUUCACAAGACUUUCCUCAUACUUCCCUUUCACUAGAAGCCAGGCAGUUUACCUAAACACAAGAUCUCCUCUGCAGUUGUCUUUGUUGUUGAAGGUACAACCCAAACCUCCACAACUGAGGGGGUCCACCAUAUCCUCUGGGCUACUGAAGAUAAUCCCAUGUGAGAGCCCAGAACUAGGAAGUGAAGAAAGUCUGUUAUGAUGCACAGCUGGUACCACACUGCAAUUUCACUGAAUUUCACUGUCAAAUAUUCACUUUUUUUUUUUUUUUUUUUUUAAACAGGCAAAGGUCUUUGUUUUCCAAAGAAAAUGUCAAUUAUAACAAUGUAGAGAAGAAUCUCCACUUUCUGAUAAGCAUAAUGGUAAUUAGGACCACAUACCACAGAAGCCCUAAAGAAAGGACAAGAUGUCCCUCCUCACUUUUGAAGUAUUUUAGAUCCAUGACACAUUUCUACAAGUAGUAAUGGUGAAAUAUAAAUUACUUUGGUUGAAAAUAGGUCAAUAUGCCACUGAUGUUGCUAGUCUGUCUUUUGUUGGUGGUAAAGACAUUCUUGAUUUUCCUUAAUGUUACUUUAUGAGAGAUAAUAUACAGAAAUCAGAAGUACUGCUGUAAUUGCUGGUUACCAUACCACCAGCAAGGUACCUCUGAAGAGAUAUAUUAAACAACCUCUUUUUAACAACCUCUUUUUUUUUUUUUUUCUUCCCAAGGGUAAUGUAGUUGAAAACAACUUUCUAUAUAUCAGAUGUUGACUCUUGUGGGAUUAUGGCUAGCAGUGAUAGAUUUUAACAUUCAGUGGGCCAAACUGAGAAUUUAUGCUGGUGAAUUUAUACUGUGAAGAUUCAAAGAAGUGAGACAUUACUCACUCUUAGUUUGGCCCCAUAAUAUUAGACUAUUA